rnacentral:lncRNA from 1 species
AAUCCGGAUGUCAUUGGUUGGAUCCACCAUCAUCGAAUCACUCUCCUGGGGAAACAAAUUAUUAAGUGCUUAGAGAUACAGCUUUUUGCAUAAGAAUGACUAGUUAUUUCUGUGUGUCAAGGGGAAUCCUAGCAGAAUAAAAACGGAUGGUUUACAAUGUAAAUCCUGAAAGUUAAGUGGUGUCCUAUGUAAGACCAGAUGACACAAACCUGAUAAUGCAUCUCUUGAAGCGUUUGGGGUGAGCCCCGAGGCCUGGGUGCAGGAGUGGUUUACUGAGUGGCAAUCAUCAGCAAUGCCAUCUGGGGCAUUGGAGAAGACCCAUGCUGAGAGGACCUGCGAGAGAGCCAGUGGGUCUCAUCCAAGGCUGGUCUCAAACUCCUGGCCUCAAGUCAUCCUCCUACCUCAGCCUCCCAAGUAGCUGGGACUACAGGCUUGCACUAUUGCACCUGACAGAAUUCCAUCUUUGGAGAAGUUAUAGACACCUAUAAACAUGAUAAUUGGCCUACAAUUCCAAGCUGUCAAGAUAACUAGAGAUUAAAUGUUCAUCCUUCCAGGCCCCCAGCCAAUGAACCUAAGAUGGGUAGAAGAUAACUGUUUUUCCUCUCCUACAAUACCCUCUCUAAUGGAGGCCGACCCAGAAUUCAGGGAGAGGGCUGUGGAGUCACAGCCACUGAACUCACCCUGGCUCCAUCCAGAAUGCUCUGGUCUGGGCUGUUUGGUAAGCUCCCCUAUGUAAAGUGAAUGCUCCAUAGUUGUUGGCAGGCUCUCUCGUUCCAAGUAUGGUUAGAAGGGUAGUCAGCCACGAGAGGCUGUGAUCUCUCUGGCCAUGCUCAAGGAGAAGGGAAAGUGGAAGGAGGUUAAGGGCAGCAGUGGGAAUGAGUCAAGGUAUUAAAGGCUGGUUCUUUUGAAGCUCUUGGCCAUACCCUGUCUCUAACAGCAGCCUCUAGGCUUUUUUGCAGGUUAAGGUGGAGUGGGAAGAAGCUAACUAAGCACAGGCUGCAAACUUGGACCAUAUUGCUUUAGACCCUGUAGACUCUUAAAAGCUUGGGGUUGUAAAAAAUAGUUGGACCAAAUUCUUCAUAUCUAUUGCAGGGAUACUGUGGUGAGCAGUGCCUCUGUAUCACUAUGUGGCUUCAGGUCCUUGUGCCACUAAAGGUGAUUUAUUCUGCACUUGUUUUGCUCCUGACUUUGUUUUGAAGAAGCUUGAUAGAAAAUGUUUAGCAUACCCCAGAAACUCUACAGGACCAUAUAAUUUGCAUUUCAUAACACUAAACCUACUCCAACCUUAUUAUUUCCUCACUGUUAUUUUCCUUUUGACUCUAGUUUUUUCAACAAUUCUUAAUUCAUCCUUUUGCAUUGUAUAUAUUUCUCCAAACCAUUUGAAAUCUUGGAACAAAGUUUUAUACUUUUGAACAGCAAGGGAUUUGCUUCUCUCUCAUAAUCAAACAUAAAAUCCCAGGGUAGAAGGCAGCUUGGAGAACAUUCAGUUCAUUGUUUUCUGAAAUUGUGGUUCUUGAACCACCUGCUUCAGGAAAUGCCUGGGGUGCUUAUUAAAAAUGCUCAGACCUACUGAAUUUGGAUCUUUAAAAGUAAAUCCCAGGAUUCUGCAGUUUCCUAACCUAACUUCCCAGAUAAUUCUUAUGCAUCCCUCAGUAAGACAACUAAGCUACCCUCAGCCUAUUUCAACUUGUGUCUGCCUGUUCAGAAAGGUACUUUAGCUUUAUCUUCAAAGAAUUCAUUGGGUAGGAAUUAACCUGCUCCUUAAUAUUUAGAAAAGAAAGGGAAACACCGAAUGUAAGUGACUUGCUUCAGGUCAUACCGGCUUUCACACCUAACUUCCUUGCUUGAUGGUUAAAUUUAUUGGAAACCAUCUUGCCCCAGCAAGGUCUCCAAGAUAGAGAAGAACAACUAGACAGCAUUAGCAGCUCAUUCAGCCCUUUGCUUUUGGGAACAAGACAGC